UGGAUGUCCAAAGCACUUACACACCGUAUUACACAGGUACAGGCUCAGGAGCACAAGGGGAGGAUUCAGAAUCCUCUUUUCAAGGAAACAACACUAAAUCAGUGAAAGAUGGAGCUACCACAGCCACACCACGGCUGGAAGGUGAGAGGCGGUCUUGUUAUCAACAGGUGUCUCAACAAGUCAUUUUGUGGCCAUGAGUGCUGUAAGACUGGAAUCCCAGUGUCUAACCGAGGAUCCAUGAAGAGGGCUCCAUCCACACCCCUCCCAAGUGGGGAGCCUCGUUUUAGGCCCUGUCAGCUGUUAUAAUGGACAAUCUCAGGACCAAGGCUCAGAGUCUCUCAGACACACCUAGUCUCAAGAAAAUGAAGGCAAACAUGAACACCGGUACAGGUAUGAAUGGUUUAUUGGAGAGAUUUGCAUACAGACCUCCUCAGCCAUUGCGGUUCACCACUGGCCAGCGUACAUCGCAGCCUCGCUCUCCUAAUGAAGCUACUGCUAGCGUGGUACGGCAGAGACCUGAAGGCUGGGAAGAGCUUGAUAUGUUAUCACUAAUAACAGAGAAGACGACCCAGACAACAUGGACGAG